CAAACAUUCUUACUUGAAACAGAUAUUAUUUAUUACUGGUUUUACUUAAAUAUGGUUUUCAUUGAGAAAAGCAUAAAUGCACUUUCUUUCUGCACAAUAGUUUUCCCUCUUUUGUGUUAAAUGAUUUGAUUUUGCAUAAUGUCCUGCACUGUAUACACCUUCUUGGUGUUCUAGCCACUACUGACAAAACCUGACAGAUCUUCUUUUUUUUAUCUAGCUUGCUAACUUUGCCAGGAAGAGGUGAAGAAAAAUGUUGAGCUUUCCUCUAUGACUCAGGCAAAAGGGAGGAAAUAUUUUCUUGACUUACCAUUAGGAGCAUCAAGUUUCCCAUCUUCAACUAUGGAAGAAGGAGAGAGGUAAAAGCUGUUAUUUCCUCAUUUGCUUGUCUGCCUGGGAUUAGAAGACCAAGUCUUUCAUAUUUGCUCUGGCACUGCCUUGGAAGAAGUUAAAUYCCGUAGAGGUAUAAACCUACAGGAGGAAACAACAGGGAAAUGAAAUGAAACUGCACAGUAUCAUGGACUGGACUCUGCUUUGUUUGACAAUUUGAUCACAUAUUUAAUUGUGUCACAGUGUCUGUAUAAGAUUCGGCAAAAACAGAAAUGUUCUUGCAGAACAUAUUCACAGAAUCACUUUAUGAUGGAAGAUGAUGUCAUGCGAAAUUUUUUCUGCAGCUCCAUGAAUGUAACAUG
rnacentral:lncRNA from 1 species